GGGCUCUUAGUGAUAAUGGUUAGCACUUCUGCUUUGCAAGCAGAGAGUUGGGGUUCAAUUCCCCAAGAGUCCA
rnacentral:tRNA from 1 species